rnacentral:rRNA from 1 species
UGGGGAAUUUUACACAAUGGGGGAAACCCUGAUGUAGCAACGCCGCGUGGAGGAUGACGGAUCUAGGUCUGUAAACUCCUUUUAUAAGGGAAGAAAUUUGACGGUACCUUAUGAAUAAGCACCGGCUAACUCCGUGCCAGCAGCCGCGGUAAUACGGGGGGUGCAAGCGUUACUCGGAAUCACUGGGCGUAAAGGGAGCGUAGGCGUUUUAUUAAGUCUUGAGUGAAAGCUCGCAGCUCAACUGCGGAACUGCUCAGGAAACUGAUAGAAUUGAGUAUGGAAGAGGUAGGUGGAAUUUCCGGUGUAGGGGUAAAAUCCGUAGAUAUCGGAAGGAAUAGCCGAAGCGAAGGCGACCUACUGGGACAUUACUGACGCUGAGGCUCGAAAGCGUGGGGA